rnacentral:rRNA from 1 species
GACGAACGCUGGCGGCGUGCCUAAUACAUGCAAGUCGAACGCAGUUGCGCACGGGUGAGUAUCGCGUAUGUAACUGCCUCAUAGCGGGGGAUAACUAUUUGAAACGAUAGCUAAUACCGCCUACUGUGAGAUGUACCUGAGUUGUAUUAGCUAGUUGGUUAGGUAAAGGCCCACCAAGGCGACGAUCCAUAGCCGGCCUGAGAGGGUGAUCGGCCACAAUGGGACUGAGAAACGGCCCAGACUCCUACGGGAGGCAGCAGGAGGGAAUCUUCGGCAAUGGACGGAAGUCUGACGGAGCAACGCCGCGGGAGUGAAGAAGGUCUUCGGAGCGUAAAGCUCUGUUGUUCGAGAAGCGGUAACUAAACAGAAAGGGACGGCUAACUACGUGCCAGCAGCCGCGGUAAUAC